rnacentral:rRNA from 1 species
AACGAACGCUGGCGGCAUGCCUAACACAUGCAAGUCGAACGGGAUCCUGGUUUCGGCCAGGUGAGAGUGGCGGACGGGUGAGUAACGCGUGGGAACCUGCCCAGUGGUGGGGGAUAACUGCGGGAAACUGCAGCUAAUACCGCAUGAGCCCGAAAGGGGAAAGAUUGAUCGCCAUUGGAGGGGCCCGCGUUCGAUUAGGUAGUUGGUGAGGUAACGGCUCACCAAGCCUUCGAUCGANAGCUGGUCUGAGAGGAUGAUCAGCCACACUGGGACUGAGAUACGGCCCAGACUCCUACGGGAGGCAGCAGUGGGGAAUAUUGGACAAUGGGGGCAACCCUGAUCCAGCAAUGCCGCGUGAGUGAUGAAGGCCUUCGGGUUGUU